UGGGGAAUCUUGGACAAUGGGGGCAACCCUGAUCCAGCCAUGCCGCGUGAGUGAUGAAGGCCUUAGGGUCGUAAAGCUCUUUCGCCUGUGAAGAUAAUGACGGUAGCAGGUAAAGAAACCCCGGCUAACUCCGUGCCAGCAGCCGCGGUAAUACGGAGGGGGUUAGCGUUGUUCGGAAUUACUGGGCGUAAAGCGCACGUAGGCGGACCAGAAAGUUGGGGGUGAAAUCCCGGGGGCUCAACCCCGGAACUGCCUCCAAAACUAUUGGUCUAGAGUUCGAGAGAGGUGAGUGGAAUUCCAAGUGUAGAGGUGAAAUUCGUAGAUAUUUGGAGGAACACCAGUGGCGAAGGCGGCUCACUGGCUCGAUACUGACGCUGAGGUGCGAAAGUGUGGGGAGCAAAACAGGAUUAGAUACCCUGGUAGUCCACACCGUAAAACGAUGAAUGCCAGUCGUCGGGUAGCAUGCUAUUCGGUGACACACCUAACGGAUUAAGCAUUCCGCCUGGGGAGUACGGUCGCAAGAUUAAAAC
rnacentral:rRNA from 1 species